GGACCCGCACAAGCGGUGGAGCAUGUGGUUUAAUUCGAUGAUACGCGAGGAACCUUACCAGGGCUUAAAUGUAGUGGGACAGGUCUAGAGAUAGACCCUUCUUCGGACUACUUACAAGGUGCUGCAUGGUUGUCGUCAGCUCGUGCCGUGAGGUGUCAGGUUAAGUCCUAUAACGAGCGCAACCCCUGUUGUUAGUUGCCAUCGAGUCAUGUCGGGAACUCUAGCGAAACUGCCGGUGCAAACCGAGAGGAAGGUGGGGAUGACGUCAAAUCAUCACGGCCCUUACGUCCUGGGCUACACACGUGCUACAAUGGCCGGUACAGAGAGCAGCCACUACGCGAGUAGGAGCGAAUCUAUAAAACCGGUCUCAGUUCGGAUCGCAGUCUGCAACUCGACUGCGUGAAGCUGGAAUC
rnacentral:rRNA from 1 species